rnacentral:lncRNA from 1 species
ACUGCGGCUUCAGAUGGAGAAGGAGGGGCGUCUUCAGUUUUCUUAUACGCUGGUAUCAUGCCCUUGGCUUGCUCAAAGUAACUCUUCUUCUCUGGUUCCAGGGGUGUCUCUGUGGGAUGAACUGCGGCUUCAGAUGGAGAAGGAGGUCCGUCUUCAGUUUUCUUAUACGCUGGUAUCAUGCCCUUGGCUUGCUCAAAGUAACUCUUCUUCUCUGGUUCAGGGGGUGUCUCCGUGGGAUGAACUGCGGUUUCAGAUGGAGAAGUAGGGGCGUCUUCAGUUUUCUUAUACGCUGGUAUCAUGCCCUUGGCUUGCUCAAAGUAACUCUUCUUCUCUGGUUCAAGGGGCGUCUCUGUUGGAUGAACUGCGGCUUCAGCUGGAGAAGGAGGUCCGUCUUCAGUUUUUUUAUACGCUGGUAUCAUGUCCUUGGCUUGCUCAAAGUAACUCUUCUUCUUCUCUGGUUCAAGGGGUGUCUCUGUGUUAGAAGGAACAGUGGUAUGCUCAUGUUUCUUCUCCCCGUCACCAGGCUGCAAUAUAUUUCAACAAGAGAAAAGAACUGUCAGUUUCAAGAAAAACUCAACAACAGAGAAAAUAACUAAAGUAAACAGUGAGAUUAAUAUAUAUCAAUCGGGUUAAUCAGAG